UGAAUACGAGACGCUAAGGCGUCGAAGUAGUGUAUGUCAUACUUCCAAGAAAAGCUUGCACUGUCAUAGAUAAAAAACGCCUGUACCAUAACCGACACAGGUGGGUAGGUAGAGUAUACUAAGGGGCGCGAGAUAACUCUCUCUAAGGAACUCGGCAAAAUAACUCCGUAACUUCGGGAGAAGGAGUGCCUUAUUCGUAAGGUUGCAAUAACAAGAUCCAAGCAACUGUUUAUCAAAAACACAGGUCUCCGCUAAGUCGUAAGACGAUGUAUGGGGGCUGACGCCUGCCCAGUGCCAGAAGGUUAAAGAAGUUGGUUAGCAAUUGCGAAGCUGAUAACUGAAGCCCUGGUGAACGGCGGCCGUAACUAUAACGGUCCUAAGGUAGCGAAAUUCCUUGUCGGGUAAGUUCCGACCCGCACGAAAGGCGUAAUGAUUUGGAUACUGUCUCGGAGAGGGGCUCGGUGAAAUAGACUUGUCUGUGAAGAUGCGGACUACCUGCACCAGGACAGAAAGACCCUAUGAAGCUUUACUGUAACUUGAAAUUGAAAUUGGACUUUAUUCGCGCAGCAUAGGUGGGAGGCGUUGAUUAUAAUCUUGCGGGAUUAUUGGAGCCAUCAGUGAGAUACCACUCUUGUAAUGUUAGAUUUCUAACUUUGAAUCAUUAUCUGGUCAAAGAACAGUUUCAGGCGGGCAGUUUGACUGGGGCGGUCGCCUCCUAAACGGUAACGGAGGCGUACAAAGGUUUCCUCUGAACGGUUAGAAAUCGUAUCUAGAGUGUAAAGGCAUAAGGAAGCUUGACUGUGAGACCUACAAGUCGAGCAGGGACGAAAGUCGGUCUUAGUGAUCUGACGGUACUGAGUGGAAAGGCCGUCACUCAACGGAUAAAAGUUACUCUAGGAUAACAGGCUGAUCUCCCCCAAGAGUUCACAUCGACGGGGAGGUUUGGCACCUCGAUGUCGGCUCAUCGCAUCCUGGGGUGGUAGUACGUCCCAAGGGUUGGGCUGUUCGCCCAUGAAAGCGGUACGCGAGCUGUGUUCAGAACGUCGUGAGACAGUUCGGUCCAUAUCCGGUGUAGGCGUUAGAAUAUUGAGAGGAGCCUACUUUAGUACGAGAGGACCGAGAAGGACAUACCUCUGGUGUACCAGUUAUCGUGCCAACGGUAAACGCUGGGUAGCUAUGUAUGGAGUGGAUAACCGCUGAAAGCAUCUAAGUGGGAAGCCCACCUCAAGAUAAGUAUUCUCAUC
rnacentral:rRNA from 1 species